rnacentral:rRNA from 1 species
UACAGAGGUCUCAAGCGUUGUUCGGAUUCAUUGGGCGUAAAGGGUGUGUAGGUGGCGCCGUAAGUCGGGUGUGAAAUUUCGGAGCUUAACUCCGAAACUGCAUUCGAUACUACCGUGCUUGAGGACUGGAGAGGAGACUGGAAUUUACGGUGUAGCGGUGAAAUGCGUAGAUAUCGUAAGGAAGACCAGUGGCGAAGGCGGUCUUCUGGACGGUGACUGACGCUGAGGCGCGAAAGCGUGGGGAGCAAACGGG